rnacentral:rRNA from 1 species
UACGGGGGGAGCAAGCGUUGUUCGGAUUUACUGAGCGUAAAGGGCGCGUAGGCGGCGCAACAAGUCACUUGUGAAAUCUCCGGGCUUAACCCGGAGCGGCCAAGUGAUACUGUCGUGCUAGAGUGCGGAAGGGGCUACUGGAAUUCUCGGUGUAGCGGUGAAAUGCGUAGAUAUCGAGAGGAACACCUGCGGCGAAGGCGGGUAGCUGGGCCGACACUGACGCUGAGGCGCGAAAGCCAGGGGAGCGAACGGG